rnacentral:lncRNA from 1 species
GGAAUUCUUUGAGGUGUGGCCUGUCAGGCAGGUGUCCUGUGCAGACAACCAUGUGGUGGUGCUGACCCACAGGGGAGACAUCUACUCCUGGGGCUGUGGAGAGCCCGAUGGAGCUAUGAUGAAGGACAUUAUUCAUUCAUGAAGUUGGCCUUUUCCUCAGUCUUGACCAGGACUGUGAGGAUGACUUUAACUCCCUCACGCAAGUGGAGAUUCCCAAAAGAGCCAGUAUCUCAUCUGUGGCCUUGA